UACGGGGGGGGCAAGCGUUGUUCGGAAUUACUGGGCGUAAAGGGCUCGUAGGCGGCCAACUAAGUCAGACGUGAAAUCCCUCGGCUUAACCGGGGAACUGCAUCUGAUACUGGAUGGCUUGAGAUUGGGAGAGGGAUGCGGAAUUCCAGGUGUAGCGGUGAAAUGCGUAGAUAUCUGGAGGAACACCGGUGGCGAAGGCGGCAUCCUGGACCAGCACUGACGCUGAGGAGCGAAAGCCAGGGGAGCAAACGGG
rnacentral:rRNA from 1 species